rnacentral:rRNA from 1 species
AGGAUAGGUGGGAGGCUUUGAAACUGGGACGCUAGUUUCGGUGGAGCCGACCUUGAAAUACCACCCUGGUUUGUUUGAGGUUCUAACCUUGGCCCGUGAAUCCGGGUCGGGGGCAGUGCAUGGUAGGCAGUUUGACUGGGGCGGUCUCCUCCCAAAGUGUAACGGAGGAGUUCGAAGGUACGCUUGGUACGGUCGGACAUCGUACCUAAAGUGCAAUGGCAAAAGCGUGCUUAACUGCGAGACCGACAAGUCGAGCAGGUGCGAAAGCAGGACAUAGUGAUCCGGUGGUUCUGUAUGGAAGGGCCAUCGCUCAACGGAUAAAAGGUACUCUAGGGAUAAC